rnacentral:rRNA from 1 species
CACGGGGGGAGCAAGCGUUGUUCGGAAUCACUGGGCGUAAAGGGCGUGUAGGCGGUCAGGUUAGUGAGAUGUGAAACGCCCCGGCUCACCCGGGGACCUGCAUCUCAAACUGCCUGGCUUGAGUAUGGGAGAGGAUGAGGGAAUUCCUGGUGUAGCGGUGAAAUGCGUAGAUAUCAGGAGGAACACCGGUGGCGAAGGCGGUUCUCUGGGCAUUACCUGACGCUGAGGAGCGAAAGUGUGGGGAGCGAACAGG